AUGCAGGAGAAGGGAGGACAGGCAUUGCAUUCUGACCACCCAGGUUCCAGUGCCAGCCCUGCCCCUACCCCUCUACUGAGGUACUGGACCUCAGGACAGAUGACAGCAGUGCCUGGAGCUGCCCUUCCUCCACAGGACGAGGCCAAUACCUGUGCUUAUCUAGGCCCCAGGGGUGGCCCUCCCUCUCUUCCAGAUGCUGUCCAUCAAACGUCUUCCUCCUCCCUUCUCCUUCUCUCAUGGCCCUUGCACUUUGGGUUUGUUGGAGGAAAAGAGGAAUGACUCAAGGGGGAGAGAACGAAGAAGUAGUUUGUGAGGAACUGAAUGACCCUACACCCUGGUCUCCUGUAUUAUAACCUACUUCAGGGCGCACACUUUUCUUUGUCCCUGUGGACAAAUAGCCCUUGCCUAGAUUUGGUCAUCUCAUAUCUGCAUGUCUUUUUACUUUGGUACUGAAUCUCUAAUCUUUUUUUUUUUUUUUUUUUUGUCUUUUUGCCAUUUCUUGGGCCGCUCCAGCGGCAUAUGGAGCUUCCCAGACUAGGGGUCAAAUCGGAGCUGUAGCCGCCAGCCUACACCAUAGCCACAGCUACUCAGGAUCCGAGCCGCAUCUGAGACCUACACCACAGCUCGAGGCAAUGCCGGAUCCUUAACCCACUGAGCAAGGCCAGGAAUCGAACCUGCAACCUCAUGGUUCCUAGUCAGCAUUCGUUAACCACUGAGCCAUGACAGGAACUCCUCCAAGCAGUCUUUUUGAGGAAGGGAAAUAUAGCCAGAGUCAUUUUCUUUACCUACCCUCCUGGGACUUGGCUUCAGUGUGUACACAAGUGGCCAUGAUAGUAUGGGAUGGAGCCAGGGGAGGGAAAAGAACACGAGUGGGAUCUUGGCUUAAUAGACAUUAAUCUACAGUAGGUGCUCAGUAAAUGUUUAAAGACUAUGUCUUUCUGUGCUUGUUUCCUCUGCAGGGUAUCUUGGUUAAGAUAUUUGAGGUGCUUUACCACAUAGCUCCCACUAGAUGUCACUGUUGUCAUGUUUGCAAAUCCCAUCUACUUCAUUUCCUCCUACCCUGCCCCCACCGUGGUUUGAUUUCAUCACAUUUAGAACACAUAUACCUAUACAUUUUUAAGUUGGCAGAUUUUUCCUCUAAUAAUUAUGGAAUUCUUGCUUUACUUACAUGUUGUCACUGACUUCCCAUUACUUUUGUUGUUUUACUUACUCCUAUAUUGGGCUUCCAAAGGUCUUGUACACAGAAUGUACUUAAUUAAAUUUGAAUUGAAUUGAAAAG
rnacentral:lncRNA from 1 species